rnacentral:rRNA from 1 species
GACGAACGCUGGCGGCGUGCCUAAUACAUGCAAGUCGAACGAGAGCGACCGGUGCUUGCACUGGUCAAUCUAGUGGCGAACGGGUGAGUAACACGUGGGUAACCUGCUCAUCAGAGGGGGAUAACAUCCGGAAACGGAUGCUAAAACCGCAUAGGUCUUCGAGCCGCAUGGCUUGAAGAGGAAAAGAGGCGCAAGCUUCUGCUGAUGGAUGGACCCGCGGUGCAUUAGCUAGUUGGUGAGGUAACGGCUCACCAAGGCCGUGAUGCAUAGCCGACCUGAGAGGGUGAUCGGCCACAUUGGGACUGAGACACGGCCCAAACUCCUACGGGAGGCAGCAGUAGGGAAUCUUCCGCAGUGGACGCAAGUCUGACGGAGCAACGCCGCGUGAGUGAAGAAGGUUUUCGGAUCGUAAAACUCUGUUGUUAGAGAAGAACAAGUGCUAGAGUAACUGUUAGCGCCUUGACGGUAUCUAACCAGAAAGCCACGGCUAACUACGUG